UACGUAGGGGGCAAGCGUUGUUCGGAAUUACUGGGCGUAAAGGGCGCGUAGGCGGCACGGCAAGUCAGGAGUGAAGGCCCUGGGCUCAACCCGGGAACUGCUUUUGAAACUGCCGAGCUAGAGUGCGGUAGAGGGUAGUGGAAUUCCCGGUGUAGCAGUGAAAUGCGUAGAGAUCGGGAGGAACAUCUGUGGCGAAGGCGACUGCCUGGACCAGCACUGACACUGAGGCACGAAAGCGUGGGGAGCGAACAGG
rnacentral:rRNA from 1 species